AUAUUUUACUUCCUGACUCCCUGAGCAAAAAGCGUGUUCUUCGUGAAGGACAUACUAAUAUUUUUCUUCUUUUUUUCUAGACAAUCUCACCCUGAAUAUAAAUUGAAGGGAUUGAGUAGUGUGAAGCUCGUAUUUCAUCUCCGGUGCUCCAGAAUUUCAAAAUCGUUUUUCGCUAAGAUUGCCAAAAAGGAUUCUCUCUCUGUAGAAAAGCGUCUUCACGACAAUCUUCAUCGCGUGGAGCUAGCUCUUGAUCUUGACCUCAAUCACCUCUCAAUCCAUUUUCUGAAACUGUGAUGGAUUCAGCUUCUCAACUAUGAGAUGCAUACCAAUGAUCUAGUGAAUAGCAGAAGUAAAAUCCACAAGUUUGGUAAUAUGAUAUGGGCCCCAGAACGCAGAACAUGUGACAAGAGUGAAACAAUUAAAGAAGCAGAGGUGGCAGAGGCAUUUUCUUCUAUCGAUUCAUCUGGUAGUGCAGUGGGACAUGGCCAGAUGUGGCCCAGGAGUGGAUCCGUGAGGCUAGGAAUGUUUUGAUACAAGACACGUGGUUUGUUAGCAUAGACUGAAGAGAAAGAGAAGGCUCCAGCAGAAGAAGCAGUUACAAACGGUUGUGUAGAUCAUGGGCAGUUAUGCAAGAAAUGGAAAGAAACUUGCUCCAUGGUGGGACAUGUGUCAACAAAAUGAGUAGCAAGGUAAGUGGAAGAAAGGCUGAGAUUUCAAAGGAUAGAAAGCAGAAAAAAUCAACUCUCAACCUGAGAAAUCUAGGAGUAGUUCAAUGUGUUUUAAGAGUAGUAGUUCUUGAAGUUAGCAGUAACAUUAGCAAUAGCAGUACCAUUUUAGUACUUGAAAAUCUCUGUCGAUUGUAAUGAUUAUUGACUUGUAAUUUGAUCUUGAUUGUAACAACCUAGAUUUUUUA